rnacentral:rRNA from 1 species
AUUGAACGCUGGCGGCAUGCCUUACACAUGCAAGUCGAACGGCAGCACGGGAGCUUGCUCCUGGUGGCGAGUGGCGAACGGGUGAGUAAUGCAUCGGAACGUGCCCUGAAGUGGGGGAUAACGUAGCGAAAGUUACGCUAAUACCGCAUAUUCUGUGAGCAGGAAAGCAGGGGAUCUUCGGACCUUGCGCUUUUGGAGCGGCCGAUGUCGGAUUAGCUAGUUGGUGGGGCAAAGGCCCACCAAGGCGACGAUCCGUAGCGGGUCUGAGAGGAUGAUCCGCCACACUGGAACUGAGACACGGUCCAGACUCCUACGGGAGGCAGCAGUGGGGAAUUUUGGACAAUGGGCGCAAGCCUGAUCCAGCCAUGCCGCGUGAGUGAAGAAGGCCUCGGUUGUAAGACUCUUCGUGGGAGGAAAGUUAGCUUGGUUAAGUACCUGAGUAGAUGACGGUACCG